UACGUAGGGGGCAAGCGUUAUCCGGAUUUACUGGGUGUAAAGGGGGCGCAGACGGAAAUGCAAGCCAGAUGUGAAAGCCCGCGGCUUACCUGCGGGAGUGCAUUUGGAACUGUGUAUCUGGAGUACUGGAGAGGUAAGCGGAAUUCCUGGUGUAGCGGUGAAAUGCGUAGAUAUCAGGAAGAACACCGGUGGCGAAGGCGGCUUACUGGACAGAGACUGACGUUGAGGCCCGAAAGCGUGGGGAGCAAAC
rnacentral:rRNA from 1 species